AUACAUGCAGUCGAGCGAACAGAUAAGGAGCUUGCUCCUUUGACGUUAGCGGCGGACGGGUGAGUAACACGUGGGUAACCUACCUAUAAGACUGGGAUAACUUCGGGAAACCGGAGCUAAUACCGGAUAACAUUUGGAACCGCAUGGUUCUAAAGUGAAAGAUGGUUUUGCUAUCACUUAUAGAUGGACCCGCGCCGUAUUAGCUAGUUGGUAAGGUAACGGCUUACCAAGGCGACGAUACGUAGCCGACCUGAGAGGGUGAUCGGCCACACUGGAACUGAGACACGGUCCAGACUCCUACGGGAGGCAGCAGUAGGGAAUCUUCCGCAAUGGGCGAAAGCCUGACGGAGCAACGCCGCGUGAGUGAUGAAGGGUUUCGGCUCGUAAAACUCUGUUAUUAGGGAAGAGCAAAUGUGUCAGUAACUGUGCACGUCUUGACGGUACCUAAU
rnacentral:rRNA from 1 species